rfam:Stegodyphus mimosarum contig120390, whole genome shotgun sequence.
GCCUUCGUGGUGUAGUGGUCAGCACGCUCGACGGGUAACUGAGAGGUCCGUGGUUCGAUUCUCGGGGAAGGCG